UCAGGCCGGGAGGAGCGGCUUAUUCGUAAGGAGUGUGUCGAGAACGUAAGAAAGGAGAAAUCCUCCCACAGGGUAUUAAGUGAUGGGGUUUUCCUCCCGCUUUCCCAGAGACCCCGCACCUCCGACGGCUGCCGGGCCGGGCUGAGCGGCUGCCCUCCCUGCUCUCGUGGUUUCCGGACCCAGGCUGCCCGCUGCCUCCGAGGCCUCCGGGGCCGAGGCGCCGUGCGGGGCGUUGCCGGACGCGCCGCGGGAGGAGGGCGCGAGCCGCGGAGCCGCCGGCACGGCCGAGGGGUGGCCGGGCGCGGCGGGGCGGCCCGGGCCGGAAGCGCCCCUCGUGGAGCCCGUGCGGCGGGCAGAGGGCGGAGCCGAGAGACGGGCCGAGCCCGGCGGGCGGCACCACCUGCCGUGUCAGGCGCGGGGCUGGGCCGUCCUGCGGCCUUGCUCGCCGCCCGGCAUGCCAGCCGCCGUGCCAGGCAAGCCCUUGCCGCCGCUCCCCAGGCCGCCUCCCCUCUGCCUCUGUCCCGGAACAACGGAGAGGACACCCUCCGAGGAAAGGGCUCAACACAAGGAGACGUUCGGGUCCCCUCGGGGAGAGAAAUCGUGACCGCCGGAGGUGGCCCUGACUUCCCUGAAGCAGCCUGCAAACCUCGCCUGAGCCGGAGGAGGGUACCGGCUGGACUAAAUCAAGCCCACGGGAAAGACAGCAGUGAGAGGCCCUGCUGCCGCCAUGACUCCUGAUUCGAUGGAAAGAGGCCGCGGGUCUUUGAAAAGAGCAGCAUCUCUAAACUCCAAGUCAGCAACAACACAAAGCAUGUCCCACUCUGCUUAUUACUGGGGCAGACUCAGAGAGAAGGAAAAAAAGGAAGAAAAUUUAGGGCUGAUCUUUCCAAUCAAGGAGCCGUCUGCCGACCAGUCAUCCUGAAGUGCUCUGUUCUUUCUCUGCUCUCCUUUAGCUCACGGCUAUUUCUGGAACUCACAAUAGAAGAAGCUGCAGAGCUGCGUGCUUUCACAGCAUGGACACGCUUGAUUGACAGUCACGACUCCUUCACCCGCGUGGUGGGCGGCGGGGGAGCAAAGGGGGAGGACUGCCCGGUUCAGCCCAGGCCUUUCUCUCCGGCCAGAGCCUCCCUGCAGAGCUAGCGCUGCUCACCGCAUAAUCAGGAAAGGAGGGAAAUCCUUCUCUACAGAAAAUCAGUUUUACCACUUGCUGUUAGUCAUUCCCAGGACUCACCCUCCCUGGAGAGGAGCCCUAGAAAGAAGAAGGCCCCCUCCCCCAGUGAAGCCAAAACACAAUCAAGGUGUCUCAGUUAACUGUGCCCUGACUCACGGCCAGGACAGAUCCCAGCCUUGUCUGCACAUCAGAUCACCCAGGGAGCUUCUGGGCCUCCCGUGGUCCAGGCUGCACUGGACCCCACGGGUCAGCAAGUCCGUAGAGCUCUCCAUAUGAUUCUACCUCAUCAGUAUGAAUUGGAAAAGAAGGUUUUA